rnacentral:lncRNA from 1 species
GAGACAUUGGAGUAAGGAGUGGCAGAGAGGCUGAAGAAACAAUGGUUUUAAGGCAGCCCCUGAUCUCAAGGAGUCUCCAAUACAGUGGGUGAGCCUGGGCAGGCCUGCAGGGCCUGGGCCAAUGGGGAGGCAAUGUGGGAUCUGAUUCAAGAAAAAGGAGCCAGUCAUAGAUUAGGCCUUUAAAGGAAGGAAUAUAUUAAAUCUUCCGGGGUCGGGGACACAUUGAACAGAGACAGGAAAGGGGAAGUGACAGAUUGUUGGAGAAGAGACAGAAGACCAAGUUGGAAGAGCAAAUGGAAGAAGGUCAUUUCAUGUGAGGUGAUUCAGGCUUUGCUCUAGAGGUAGCAGAGAACUCCCGAACAGGGUCACCACCAGGGUGAAGGAAAGGGGACAUCUGCAUUGUGUGCAAGAUAUGAGGCCCUGCCAAAGCACUCAGUAGUCAAGGUAAAUAAUACUUUAAUGAAAUAUUUUAAAGAUAAAAUUGACAAAGUUGAGCCAGGCUUUUUAUAAAAUAUAGUUUUACUGGAAGUUUGAGUUGGGGAAUGCAGGCUGAAAGCCCCAUUUUGGAAUCCUGAUCUGGGAAGAUAGCUCAUCUGGGAAGACCAGUUUGAGCUCAGAGCGUGCCUCUGCCUCCUCAGAAGGGCAGCAGGAGGCCUAGGAGCUGGGGCAGCUAGUGGUCCAGGAAGCACCCUCCUCUUGCUCCUGUCCAUCUUCCUAUUUUUUUCUCUCUAUCAUGCUGCUACCUUUUUGGCUUCUGCUGUCUCCUGUUCUUGAGGGCAAUGAUAAUAUCAGAAUCGAAUGGGAGAGACAAUUAUGUAAACAGUUACCCACAUCAGUACACAAUAAGGGCUGCGGGAGAUGUACCAAGAGGUGUAGCAGUGUUGGCUGCUUCCAGCUGGGAUGUUCUGGAAGCUGGUGGCAUCUACCCCUGGGCUUUACAGAACAAUCUGACUUGGCUAAGCAGAGACAAUGGGAGGACUGACCUGGGCUCAGAUCCUAGCUCUGCCAUUUACUAGGUGUGUCACCUUGGACAGGUCAUUGGACUUUUUUGAGCCUCAUUUUCCUUCAUAGUAAAUAGGGAUCUUGAUUACCCUCUCCUCACAGGAUUUUCAUGAGGUUUGUGUGAGAUAUUAUGCACAAUCCUAGAAUGGCCCUGUUCAAGAUUGUUAUUGUUAAUGCAGACUCACAUCAUAGUUCCUCCAUCGAAAAUAAAGCAGUUCUAUGAAAGAAGACAAUAUUGGAAAUUCCAGCUAUCUGGAAUGGAGUAUGGCCAUUUUCCAGUUAGCAGAAAGGGUCUGAGUAAAAUCCAGAGUGACUUCGAAUGUCAGACUUCCCAGAUUUACUGAAUUCACCAAUUAAUCAACCCAUGUAUUCUGAUUAAAUACCUGUUAUUUGUAAGCUAGGUAUUGUGGAUGACCCAAAGAAAUACAGGACAUGAUCUCGGUCCCCACUGAACUUAGAAUCUGGUAGAUAAGACUUGAUAUAAUGGGGGUGUACUUUUAAAAAUUUUAUUUAUUUUGUUUUGCAGCCUACUAUACAUGUAUCCCUCUCCUGAAUGACAGUAGAGGGGGUAGAGAGAGGAGAGGGGAGGGGAGGGGAGGGGAGGGGAGGGGAGGAGGGAUAGUAGAGGAUAGGAAAGGCAGCAGAAUACAACAGACACUAGUAUGGCAAUAUGUAAAUCAAUGGAUGUGUAACUGAUGUGAUUCUGUAAUCUGUAUAUGGGGUAAAAAUGGGAGUUCAUAAGUGUGAAAUAUGAUAUAUCAAGAACUAUGUAAUGUUUUGAACAACCAACAAUAAAAAUUAAAAAAAAAAAAAUAACCACCCCCCCCCAAAAAAAAACAAAACACGUCGUCUUACUUCUUUGACUUGCUUGCAAUAAGAAUAAUGGUUCAAUUUAGCACAAAUAUCCAGACUAAUUUAGACUGUGGGCAAAAGGUAACCAUUGGCCUAUAAAAGCUUUAAAUUUACAAGAUAUCAGAGCAUCACCUUGAGAAGACUUAUGAAGUUGCACUCGUACUUCAUCUCAAGAUCUCUUACAAGAGUUUAUAUUAGUUGUCUCCUCUUUUUCAAAUCAAAGUCACAAUUGUGGAUUUAAGUAGUGAGUUUCCCUUUUUUUUUGAUUUUAUGACUUAAUCAGGAACAAUUUGGAGGACACCCAAAACAGAAAUUUUCCAUUAUUAUUUUUAGGUACCAUAUCCUGCCAGUGCUACUGAUUAGAUAUGUUAGGUCAGCACUGCCAAGUGUCUUAUUUGCCACCUUCCAAAGAGUUUCUGGCCAGGCAUGGUGGCACACACCUGUAAUCCUAGCAGCUCGGGAGGCUGAGGCAGAAGGAUUGUGAGUUUAAAGCCAGCCUCCACAAAAGCGAGGUGCUAAGCAACUCAGUGAGACCCUGCCUCUAAAUAAAAUACAAAAUAGGGCUGGGAGUGUGCCCCACCCCCCAAAAGAGUUUCUGUAUCACAAAAACUGCGUGUCUUUUCAGUAAGAGCAUAAUAGGUGAAAUAAUGAAAUUAUUGGUUCAGAGAAGGGAAUUAAUAACAAAUAACUUUUCUGACAAAUGGGGUUCAUUGUUACCAGUCAAUGUUGUUGGCAUAAUUGAGUUUAGCAUCACAGCAGAACUCACCCUUUGAAAAUCAAGUGAAUUUUUGUUCCUGUUAACUCAUUGUCUUGUUAGUGUUCAUUUCCUGCAGAUGAAUUUGAAUUUGAAUCUAAUUUUGAUCUUAAAAUUUUAGAGACAUAAUUGUGAUUAUUUCAAGAUAUUUGGCAUCGGUUCACGUUCUGUGUCAAUAAUUUUCUUGCUGCACCUACAAUAUGCUUGCCCAAGAGACACAUAAUUUGUAUGAUGCAAAAUUCUAAAAGGAGGCAAAUAAGAAUGUGAGAGAUUUGACUGUCUGACCCAAUGUGACUAAUGAAGCCAGCCUCACCCGAGGUGAAGGGCUCCCACAUUCACUGGCCAUGACAAAUCAGAAUGAGAGAACUUGCCCUUUGUAUCCAACUCUGCAGCACAGAUUAAGACAUAGCUAUAAACCAGCACUGGUUUCUGCUCCUGAUGGCACCAUUAUCAUUUUUAAACUUAUCAUUUAUUCAUUAAAGCAAUCCCAAAGCUUAUGGGGGUUGUUGACAGAACAUAAAUACAAACAUAAAAAUAAAUCAUACAAAGUCCUCUGGAGCUGCCUGAGACUUCAAGGAUCAACUGGUCCAAUCCUCUGCAGCAGCGUUAUAGUCCUUGUGUUCUUUACCUCUGUUCCCAUGUCUUCAAUUCUAAGCUCUCCUUUAAGAGGAAAGACCUCCAUGAGGUGCUGCUCUGUGAAGGGUCUUGUUCUUUCAUUUGGCUCAAGAGAUAACAUGUCCCAUGAUUUGCUAUAACUGCGGUAUAUAGUCCAGCUGGGACCUCUGUCCCAGAGCAUGUCUACUUAGGGAUCUCAUACCCUCUGGGCUUCUCAGGUCUAGGCUGAGUAUGGUGAGUUUUUCCAGAUUUCUUCCUGUGUUGGUUUGUUGGUUCUCUGUUUAUUGAUAUCACCUAGCUGGGCAUCUUUCCCAAAAUAUCCAUGCUUACUUUAUUGUAAUGCAGUACUGGACAUGAUAGUUAAUAACUAUAUUGAAUAGAGACAUGGAAAUACACAUUAUGUUUCCUCUAUUAAGUGACAACUUAAGUUAUUUGCUAUAAAAUGAUGUGUUGGACUAGAUGAUCUCUAGGAUCCAUUUUCUGGCUCUGCUCUGAUAGAUUAAGACUGAAUAUGUACACUUUCAGAAUGAGUAUAGGAAGGAAUGUUAUUUAGAUAUUCCCUGUCAAAUUGGUUACAUAGAAAAAAAGAAAAUAAAAGGUUUGUUAUAAAUCUUUUCCUGAAGCAAUUUACCUGUGUAGAUUAUGAGCCUGAUAUACUUUCUUUUAGGAAAUGUCACUGGUAGGCUUUGGACACACUUAAUUGGUAAAAUAAAAGUUUUUGAUGAGUUGGAUACAUGUUACAAAAAAGUCUAGUUUAAAUAUUUUAGUUUCUGCUGAAAUGUUAUCUCUGAUGCAAUUCAUUUCUGUUGGUCCUUGAUUUUCCAUCAGUUAACAGGGAUCCCAAGCUACUUUAUAGAAGGUUUAUAAACCAGAUGAGGAGUGGAUGUGGGUUCUACCCCGUGUAGAGUAAAAAAUGCGUAGGUAGGUGUUCUGAACUAGAUGGCAGCCUUUGGAGACCAGAGUCUGGCUUCCUUUGACUUUACCUAGUGCACAGUAGGACUUAGUAAAGUCCACUGUAUUAGGUCAAGAAUUUCACCCUUUUCCAACAACAAACAAAGUUUCUGAUAAGGAACUUGCUUUAUCUUAUUGUUUACCUUUCUGUUGUCAACAAUCAUGAUGGACAAAUUUGACACUCUAUUAACAUUUUGAAGGGAGAAGAAGAAAGGGAACACAAAAGGGGGCCAAGCUCCAGAGCUUUUUAUAUGUGAAAUAUAAAUGUCAAAGUUCACUUGUUUUUCUAUUAAAUUCUAAGUUGCAGUUUUCUAGCUAUUUAUGUUUUGUGACCAUUAAAAAAAAUCAGUUUCAGAAGAAAGAUGGGCCACGAUUCUAUGAAAGUUGCUUACAACAUUAUUUUAAUUGUUCAAAAAACCAGAAUCAACCUAAGCUAGAAUGUCUUGCUGAUGUCCCUAAAAUAUUCCAUCUUUGGACAGAACCAUUAACUAUUUUAAAAAAGCCAAUAAUCAAUAAGUCUUAAUUUGUUGCACUGACAUUUGUGCAGGUUUCAUCUACAUGAAAUUAAUUAGAAAGAAAAUGUUUUCUCAGCGAUUGGUGAGAGGAAGGGAGUCCGGUGGCAAGAUAAGUUUGACCCUGUAUCAUGGAAACAUUUUAAUGAGGUUAAGCCUCAGCACGCUUGGAUCCAGCAGCUGGAGUCCAGUGUGCGCUGACAUUGCUAAUGGGAUACCGAGGUCUUCCAAGAUGGACUAAUGACUUUGAAGGCAUUUCGUGGGUCACUGGAGUUCUAGGUGGCUACCUAGUCUAAAGUAUGUGACAUAAACAUCUGGAAGAGAGAAUCGUGAAGCAGAAUCUCACAGGAGCACAGCACCCCUCCCUCCACAUUCUCAGCUGAGUUAGCCUCAUCUCUGAACUCUGCUAACUGAAGUGAGGUCAGAUCCUAAUUUGUUGGCACCAAAGGGCAUCUUGGCUCUAUGAGGGACUCAUUGCAUAGCCCUGCCUGUGACAUUCACAGGGGAUCACCAGGCUCUGGGAAGAGUGGGGAAGGAUAUGCAUGCCCAGGCCCUCAGGGGUGAGCAGUUACUUUAAUUGCUUUAGGAAUCCUUCACAUGAAUGAGACUAAUGGGGUUAGACAGAGAAAAUACUGGCCAGACUUGAUCAAAUACAUUGAAUUUUUCCCUUGGUGUAUAAUUAGAUUAGAAGAAGUAAGUGCUUCAGACUAAAUCGAAGAUGUUGGCCCAUUAUGAACCAAAGUCUUCAGGGAACACCUGGAGGUCCCAGACACCAAGGUUCUCAGCCUUAAGGUAGGGGCAUCAUCUGUCAGAAGCUACGGCGAAGGUCAGUUCUGCUCAAGUCUGAGGCCUGUGUAGGAGCAGAGGAGGCUGAUUGUGGUGGACUCUGAUCAUAAGAGGACUUCUCUCUUUUGAAUGGUCUUUUCCAAUUUGGGGUCAUGUUCUCCUCCUCAUUCUACCCCAUUCUCCCUUUUGGGUAGAUCAAUGAUGGCUUCCUGGAGGGGAUGGUAGGUAAAUGAGGUUGAGAAAGAAGAAUUCUUAAGAAUGAAGGAAACCACUAUCAGUGAUGGUGACACGUGACACUGGAGAAAGGAGAAUUUCUGCUACACAGGCAUGGGAUUCUUCACCACAAGGAUGAAUCUGACCUUCUAAGAAGAUCCCUGCAGAGGCAUAUAGAACACCAGGCAGGCAUUGGAGUGACCGAAACCUGCAUACACUGCCCCCUGCAGGAAAGAGGCUUGUCUAGGAGGUUGGAGAAGAUGUGAGGACAAUGACAUGUAACCAAUGUGGACUGAUAUGAGGGUUGCCUUCUGGGAUCACAAACCCAGAAUGUGACAAAACAGGCCUCCAGAGUCUGAAGAUACACACCAUCUCCCCAUUCUGCUAAUUUAUGUGCCCCCUUCUGGAAGGCAGGCCUGUUAGGAGGCCAUGGUCACUGAAGAGUAGGUGAUUAACUAAAGAGAAUUUGCUUUCCUAUCCACUUAAGAACUGAGGGAUGAUGACUAAGGACACAUUAAAAGACUGCUUGAUCAAUGACUCACAAGCCUGCUACAGAGAAACACCUAUACCAGCUUGGGAGGCCAGAUACUUGAAGGACCAUGUGCAUGAUCCCCAGAGAAUGCAGCCUAGGUCCAUGCAAGGAGUACGUGAUGGGGAGGCAGAUGAACACUUUUAGCUCAAUGAGUAGUUAUGUGAUCUUGGAUAACUGACUUCCUUGCUUUGGGCCUUGGUUUUACUCCACUGUCUGUAAAACGAAGGAGUUCAACUAGAAGGUCACUAAGUUUCUUUGCUGUGAUUUAUUCAAAUUUUCUUUUAUUUGAAUUCUCUGAGAAAUGGAUUGAUAAUAAUACCACUCCUGUAGAGUCUGGGUGAGAGUGAAUUUCAGCUUUAUGUAUAUCUGUAAAACACAAAUUAAAAAAAUAGAAAUAAAUAGAAGGAAGGGGGAUAGCUGGGUCAAAUGGUGGUUCCAUUUCCAGAUUUCCAAGGAAUCUCCAUACUGCUUUCCAUAUUGGCUGUAUCAAUUUGCAGUCCCACCAGCAAUGUAUGAGUGUACCUUUUUUCCCACAUCCUCGACAAUACUUAUUGUUGUUUGUCUUCAAAAUAGCUGCCAUUCUGACUGGAGUGAGAUGAUAUCUUAGAGUAGUUUUGAUAUGCAUUUUUCUGAUUGCUAGAGAUGAUGAGCAUUUUUUCAUAUAUUUGUUGAUUGACUAUAAAUCCUCUUCUGAGAAGUGUUUGUUCAGGUCCUUGGCCCAUUUGUUGAUUGGAUUAUUUGUUUUUUUUGGUGCUUAGCUUUUUUGAGUUCUUUUAUAUAUCCUAGAGAUUAGGACUUAAAAGAAGCAUACUACAGGGACACAGCCACAUCAGUGUUUAUAGCAGCACAAUUCACAAUAACUAAACUGUAGAGCCAACCUAGAUACCCUUAAGUGGAUGAAUGGAUAAAAAAAUGUGGCGUAUAUACACAAUGGAAUUUUACUCAGCAUUAAAAGUGAAUAAAAUUAUUAAAGAAAAUAAAAUAAAGAGAAUAAUAUUUGCAGGUAAAUGAAUGGCUUUGGAGAAGAUAAUGCUAAGUGAAGUUAGCCAAUCCCAAAACCCAAAUGCCGAGUGUUCUCUCUGAUAUAAGGAGGCUGACUCAUAGUAGCAUAGGGAGAGGGAGCAUGGGAGGAUUAGAUGAAUUCUAGAUAGGGCAGAGGGGUGGGAGGGAAAGGGAAGGGGCAGGGGAUUAUCAAGGGCGGUGGAAUGUGAUGGACAUCAUUAUACAAAGUACAUGUAUGAAGACUUGAAUUGGGUGUCAACAUACUUUAUAUAUAAACAGAGAUAUGAAAAAUUGUGGAAUAUAUGUGUAAUAAGAAUUGUAAUGCAUAAAAAGUACAUGUAUAAAGGCAUGAAUUGGCAUAAAACAUACUUUUUAUACAAAGAUAUGAAAAAUUGUACUCUAUAUGCAUAAUAAGAAUUGUAAUGCAUUCUGUUGUCCUGUAUUUAAAAAAUAAGAUCAAUAAAACUAAAAAAAAAAAAAAAGAAAAGAAAAGAAGGAAGACCAGUAGAAUAGAGGAAGGGGAACAGGAGAGAUAGGAGGCAAGAAAAAGGGAAAGAAAAAGGUAAAAAAGAGCAAGCACACACAAAUUUAAUACAGAAAAAGAAAAGCCUGGUUGAGACCUGUGGCCUGGUCCACAGGCUGACAGAUCAGAUGACCUCGGUGAAAAGGAAGAGGAGGGUCCUGGCAGUUUGUUAAAAAAGCCCACUCCUUAAUGGAUUCCAGGGCAGGUGGGUUUCUCUGGAGAGAGGCCCAGUGUGCUGUUUUUAUAGCCAAUACUGCAGCCUGGCCAGGCAAUGGGAGCCUUUAGGCCCAGCCCUGAAUCAUAUGACCUGAGGCUUCAUCACCUCCACUCUAAGAACUGGCUGUCUGAUGAAUUCUUGGCUUACUCUGCUGUUUAACCUCUGAGAAAGUACAGACAGCUGUAGUAGGAUCUGCUUCUCUGAACUCAAUUCUAGGCCCAAAGUUGUAGGGAAAAAAAAAUUCUCAAAGAAAUGAGAGAGAAAAAAAUGAGUUGAAAAUAUUUUUUUUUGUGUGUGUAUUAAAUAUGUGUUUUGCAUGUGUAUGUGUUUUGGAUGCUGAAGACUGAACUCAGGGCCUUGUGUAAUUUUGUGGAGUAAAAUGUUCAAGAAAUGAAUAGCUCUAUUACUAGGGAAAAUUGGUGCAAUAGCCUGAAAAGAAUAACUUCAUUUGUUUUCUCAUUCUGAGCCUCACCAGAACCUGGCAGGGAGGGUUGAUUUGUGUAAGUUCAAAGUGUCGGAACCUGGAUCAGCUGAUGGUCUGUGCCUCUUUCUGGAGACUUGUGCUGCUGUUCUUGUCACAGUUGGAAGAAAUUGCACCAACAGACACACUUUAAAAAAAUCCAAUAUAAAAGAAAGACUUUCUCUCUCAUUACAGAAAUAUUUGGAGAAUACACAAAGAGAUAAAAUAGAACUGUAAAAGCAUCCCAGUAUUCAGAGACAGCCAGCAUUAAGUUUGGGUAUUUCCCCCAUAACUUCUUAUUUUGAAACGAUUCUAAGCUAUAAAAAUUUGAGAUGACGAUAAACCCCUAGGAACCCUUAACCUGGAUUCAUAGUUGUUAACAUUCUGCAGUGUGUUGUCCUUAUCUGUCUUGGCUGUAUCAUUUGGAAGUCAUUUGUAGACCUGACAUUUCACCUCUGAACAUUUUAGCUUGUAGACGGUGAGAGCAAGUUCAUAUCCCUACAAAGCCUCAAUAACAAUAUCACAACACGGACUUUAAUACUGACUUAAUAACAUCAUCUAACAGUCUGUAUUCUUGUUCCCUAAUAGUCCUCCAAAUGUCUGUUGUAACCUUUUAAUUUCAAUCCAAGUUCUGAGUUUCGUGUGUUGCCUCUAUUGGCAUUUCCCUAGAAUUCUUUAACCCAAAAUAGCCCCACUUUUUUUCCUUUUUUGUCUUUGGAGUGUUCAGACCAGCUGGCUUUGAAUAGUUUUCAGAUUUUGUAGUCUUUACUAGAUUCAUGUUAAAUAUUUUUGGUAAGAAUGCCACAUAGGUAAUGCUUUGUACAUUUUGGAGAUUUAAUUGUCUGUACCGAACCUAGGUUGCUUUUCUAAUCAGAAAACAGAAUAAUGCAUGUCAUUAUUGAAAAAAGCUUUCAGAAACAUUUCAACAACACCAUAGUCCUUGAAUAGUUGAUCCCCAGAGAAUGCAGCCUGGGUUCAUGGAAGGAGUACGUGAUAGGAGGGCAGAUGGAUGGUUUUAGCUCAAUGAAUAGUUAUGUGAUCUUGGAUAACUGACUUCUUUGCUCUGACCCUAACCCUAACCUAACCCUAGCUCAAGUGCUAGUACGAUGCUUGGCUCUGUGCUUAAUACCAUUGUUCAGUGACUUUACAAAUUAUUUCAUGAAAUGCUCCAAUUGGUAAUGAGUCUCUUGUCCUUGGAAGUAUUCAAGCAGAGACUGGAGGACCCCUGAUGAAACGAGUUGAGGAGGGGAUUUUGCAUUGCAAGGAAUUCUUCUCCUUUGCCUCUGGUGGCUUUUCUGGAGAGGUUUUUCUUUCCUAUUUUAAAUUAGAGCUUAAUGCGGACAUUAUUGUUGGAAUUAUAAAAACUCACGUUAUGUCGCUCUGUGUCUCCCUACUUUUCUGUCUGCUUCUGUUAUUGAGUUCCUCCUUUUUCUUCCACCAUCCCUUUCUUAGUUGCAAACUUCUCAGUACUUUACAAGUCUUUUCAGUUUGAGACACCAACUAUGCCCCCUUGUGCUCUCUUGGAACCAGUGGGGAAUUGAGCCACCAUAGGAAACCUAGGCCACAGACCUACCCUAGGGAUGAGCUGUUUGCUCCAGAAAACUAGUUUAGGAUCCUCAGAUGGGCUUCUCUCAGCUGAGAAAUGAGAAGUGCCCUAGAAGUGGUGGGGUGGUAUCUCCUACACCUGCUUUCUUCCUGGGUUGGUUAUACCACAUUUCCUAGAUUUAUCAAUAGAUUCUAGACCCUGGGUUGGCUUUAAUUUCAAAGGGUCGUUUUGGAGUUUGUGUGUCUCUGUAGUGCAUGAAAAGGAUAGCUUGCAUCUGCCCGCGUGGGGCCGUUGCAUUAUUCCACUGGCUCCCCCCCGCCGCCCCCCGAGCUUGCCUGGGUAAUGUUCUUCCCUUACAAAUUUCAUCUCACUGCACUGUGCAUCGAAACGAUGCAGUUAUGGAGCGCACAGGGAAAAAAAUUAUAAUGCCAUUAAAAGUUAUCAUAAAUUUCAGAUCAGCAUCACUUCUAAUCCGAUACACAAUUUUACUGCCUCUAUAAAGUAGGUGAUUUGCAGUGGUCUGAGGCGUCUCCUGGAGCGUUUUACUUCUUUUUAAAUUAAACACACCAACUUUGUGCUGAAUUCAGAGUGUGGACAUAAAAAAGGGGGUAAAAAGGAGAGGGAAGGGACAUCAGAUGGGAAUUGCAAUUGAAUCUUUAUAUAUGCCAUCUUGGCACUGUGGUACUAAAUAUAGUGCCAGGUAAAUAGAUGUGCUGAAAUAUUCAGAAUAAAAAACAAAUGUUCCAAUAGCAGAAGCGUGAGCCCUGAGAAUGUUUCCACAGUGGGUGUGCUUAAAAUAAUAAAAUACUGUUGUUUAAAACUACUCAAUCCUAGAAAACCCUCUGUUGUUAAAAAAAUAUAGCGCUGGUAUAAGUGUGAGGGGCUAUGUGUGUUGAAGAUGUAUAAAAACUCCUAGGAAAUUAAACAGAAUAUAAGGGGCUUGAUUUCACUGGUUGGAAGGUUGCACUGAUUAUUUCUUUGAGGUACACUAACUCUUCCUAGAAGUUUAGGACAUCAGAAGUUGUCAUUUACUAAGUGACAACUCAGUACUCGGAAAUGUAAUGUCUCUAGCAAGGGCUGACCCAUGAGCCACAUGCAGAUGUGUGCACUCACAUACGUGGAGAGAGGUGGUACCUGCUCAAGUGCUAGUUAUGAAAGGGAACUCCAAUCACAAGGGUUCUGGAAGAAAUGAUUUGACUGAAUUGUGACACUGCUUCUUCCCCACACCCUAUUGUGCUGGCCAUUCUUAGCAACCAAAAUGCUGCUAUGUGCCAAGAAUAUGAUGCUUUGUGCUAAAUGUGAAGAUACAAAGGAAAAACAGACCCAUAGGUUUACUUGCAAGGAGCUCAUAAUCUAGACCGGGAGUUUAGACGGUGUAAUCCUGGUUACGGUAGAGUGUGUUCAAUGCCAGGGAAGCCAGUGCCCACUGGGAUCUUACAGAGCAGAGGAAACCACGUGUUUACCACAACAAAACAGAAUACAGCACCUUAAAUCUCUUUCAGAUUGGGUCUAAAUUCUCCAAUCCAAAUAAUUUCAGCAACAGUACUUAUAAGUUAACAAACAAUCAAACAAACAAAUGUGUAUCACAUUCUGGUUACUGUAUGUUUUUUGUUUCCAUGUUUACCCCUAGAGCUUAGCAAGGUGCCUGGAGCAGACAGAAAGGAACCAGACUUAUUUGGAGUGAAUGAAGUUUGUAAUAGAACAUGAAUGAUACCCAGCAUGCAAAACAUUUUACCUUAGGAAGAUACUUAGGAUCUGUCAUUUAACCCUUAACAAUGAGGCAGGUACUAUUUAAUUUUACCGAUGAGGAAACAAAGAUUGUGUGAGGCCAAGUGAUUUUUUUUCCCCCAAGUAUUUGACAGAUUGGCCCAAAUCCAGACCAUCUGGCUGUACAUCCUGCCCUAUUCUCUACCAGCUGGGUUUUGUCUGAUGCCCAUGCACAGACUCUGGUGUGGAUGGUGUGCACUGAGUCUCAGGGAGGGCUGUGCCAACAUGCUCUUGUUAUGGCCAAUUCCUAGCCUCUACGUGGAACUAGAGGACCUGGAGACACGGUUGCCUGUAACCAUGGUGAAGAAUAAUUUCUGCUGUGGUGCCUAAUGGAUUGGCGAUAAAAGAGCAGGUGGACAGAAAGCCUUGAUCAUAGUACUGGAGUCAGGUAAUUAUGUGUAGCAUUUGUGGGACACUUAAUGCCUUUCAGGAUAUUGCAAUCUCCUUAAAACCCAACAAAGUAGGAACUAUGAUUAUCAUCCUUAUACUACUGGCUGAAAAAACCAAAGCACAGAGAGAUUAAGAAAUUUGCCUAAGAUUACAGAGGGGGACAUGCUGGAGUCAGGAUUCUAAUCCAGAUUCUAAUCCAGAGUUUGCUGUCUGGAGAUAACAGGACCUCAUGACUCAUCUCGCUUGUGUUGAUGGGGCUGGGUGUCCUCAGUAUUAACUGCAGAUAGCAUGUUGUGCUAACAGGUAUUUGAUGGGUUGAGACAUGAUCCAACGUAGGGAGUACUGUCCCUGUUGUGUGUAAAGAGGAACAAAUGAAGUUGUGUCUCGGUGUAUGCUACGUUUCUAAUCUUAUGAAGGACGGUCCUACACAUUUGCAUCAUAUAUUGUAUUUGGAAAACAGUUUGUAUUGUACAGCAGGUUGGCAAAGUUGGAACUUCAGAUAUAAAAGGCAAUCAUGAACUCUGAAUACCUAUUAAAUAAUUCAUGCAUUUAAGAUAUCAAUUUACCAAACUUUUGUUAAAUGCCUACUAAUAUGCUACAUAGAUGCUCUGAUUGGUGCUAAUUUAUCACAGUACAGUUGUCUUCAGUCAAGUUAGAUUACCUUACCUAAAGUAUAUUUAGCCUUAAAUUAAAAAAUUCAAAUCAAUAAUACUUAUUUAACUAGACUGUGUUGUUGAAAAGAAAUGACAAAUAAUGGCUUAAAUAACAAAAAUCUUUAUUUAAUGAUAGGAAAUAUUUAGCCCACCAUCUAUUUUUAUUUUUAUAUUUUCUCCAAUGUUGACUUAAAUAUAUAAAUAUAUAGGAAAGAAAUAUUUAUGUGCACUAGUAUAUUUUAUAAAAUAGUAUCAACUUUAAGACUUGAUUACUUGAGCCAAUUAGACUUCUAUCAUGAAACUCUGACAUAACGAGUUCUUUGGUGUUGAGUUUUUGCUUUUUAAAAUUUAGAUUAAAUUAAUUUUAACUGGUACAUAAACACAAAAACUACAUACUUAUGGGGUGCCAUGUGAUAUUGUGAUACAUGUAUAUUUCAUAUAAUGUUUAAAUCAGGCUAACCAGAGCUAUCUUCUCACUUAUUCCUUAUGAUAAAAAUAUUAGAUUCUUUUCUUCUAGAUAUUUGAAAUAUAUACUAUUGUUAUCUGUAGUCACCCUUUGUGCAAAAUCACACCAGAACUUCUUACUUCUAUUUACUUAUAACUUAGUACCCACUGAUCAGCCUUUUCCUUCUCCUCAGUCUCUGGUAACCUGUGGUCUAUUCUCAACUUCUAUGAGAUCAACUUUUUUAGGCUAUGCAUAUGAGUGAUAUUAUGAAGUACUUGUCUUACUGUGCCUGGCUUAUUUAUUUAAUUUAACAUAGUGAUCUCCAGUUUUAUCCAUAUUGUCACAAAUGACAGGAUUUUAUUAUUUUUUUAUGCCUCAGUAAUAUUCCACUAUGUGUAUAUACCACAUUGUCUUUAUCCAUUCAUUAGCUGAUGGACACUUAAGUUGUUUCUGUUGGUUGGCUAUUGUGAAUAGCGCUUCAAUGAAUGCAAGAGUUUGGAUGUGUCUUCAACAUUCUAAUUUUCUUUCCUUUGGACAGUUAUGGCAUUGCUGAGUCAUAUUAGUUCUUUUUACAAGAUUUAAAGGAAUCUCCAUACUUUUUUCUGUAAAGGUGAAUUAAUUUGCAUUCUUACCAACCGUGUGCAGAGGUUCCAUUUCCUCCACAUCUUCACUAGCACUUGUUAUCUUCUGUCCUUUGGAUAAUAGCCAUUCUCACUGAAGUGAGGUAAUAUCUCAUUGUGGUUUUGAUUUGCAGUUCUCUGAUGAUUAGUAAUGUUAAGCGUGUUUUCAUAUGCUUGUAUGUCUUCUUUUGAGGAAAUGUCUAUUUAGGUUUGUUGCCCAUUUUUAAAUUGGGUUAUUUGGUUUUCUAAAAUAUAUUUUGCAUUUUGAGUUCCUUAUAUAUUCUGGAUAUUUUUCUCUUGUCAGAUGAUAGUUUUCACAUAUUCCCUUCUGUUCUGUAGGUUAUCUCUUCAGUCUGUUGAUUGCUUCCUUUGUUGAGUCGAGCCUAUUCGGUUUGUCGUAAUCUCGUUUGUAUGUUUUAGUUUUGGUGGACUAUAUUUUGUGGCCUUGUCCAAAAAUCCUUGGCCAUUCCAGUGUCUUUAAGCAUUUCCCCUGUGUUUUUCCCCCCAGUAAUUUCAUAGUUUCAGGACUUAUAUUUAAACCUUCAGCCCAUUUUCAGUUGAUUUCGUGUAUUGUGGGAGGUGAGGUCUAGUUUCAUUCUUCUGCAUGUGGAUAUCCAGUUUCCCCAGCACCAUUUACUGAAGAUUGUUCUUUCUCCAAAACAUGAUCUUGGCACCUUUAUUGAAAAUAAGCUGACUGUAGAUGCUUGUGUUUACUUCUAGGCUUACUCUAGUUUGUUCCAUGGUCUGUGUCUGUUUUUAUGCCAGUAUUAUUUUAUGCCAUGCUACUUUGGUUAUUAUAGUUUUGCAGUAUAUUUUGAAGUCAGGUAUAUUACACUUCCUACUUUGUUCUUUGGUGCAAGAUGGCUUUGGAUAUCCGGUGUUUAUUUUUCCUUCCACUUCCUCUUCCCUUUUUCUAUUUCCCUUUCUUUCUUUCCUUUUCUCUCUCUCUUUCUUUCUUUCUUCUUUUUUUCCCCUCUCUUUCUUUCUGUGUGUGUUUCCACACAAGUUUGUAUUGUUUUUCUAGUUCUGUGGAGAAGGUCCUUGAAUCUGUAGAUUGCUUUGGGUAGUAUGGACAUUUUAACAAUAUUAAUUCUUUUAAUUCAUGAAAAUGGGAUGUCUUUCUAUUUUAUUUCUUCAAUUUAUUUUAUAAAUGUUUUAUAGUUUUAUGAAUGUUUUAUAGUUUUAAUUGUAGAAAUCUUUCACCUCUGUGGUCAAAAAAACCUUGAGUUUUUUUUUUUAGCUAUUAUAAAUAAUAUUGCUAUCUGGAUUUCUAUUGCAGAUAAUUCACUCUUAGCCAAUAGCAAUGUUACCAAUUUUUGCAUGUUAAUUUUUUUGUACAUUAAUGUAUUUUUGUAUAUUAUUAGUUCUAGUAAUUUCUUUGGUGGAGCCUGGGAUUUUCUGUAUAUAAGAUUACAUCAUCUGUAAGCAGUGAGAAUUUGACUUUCUCUCAUCCAACUCUUAUGCCUUUUAUUUCUUUCUUCUGCCUGAUUGGUCUGGCUAGGACUUACAGCCUUUAAAAGAAAAUAAAUGCCAAAGAAUUUGGAGAAACUGUUUUCCACCCAUGAAUAUUGGGUGACAUUUAGUUUCGACCACAGCUUUCUAUUUAAACACAUUCUGGGAGUGGUUGAAUUUGGGAUAGAUAUAAAGUUUUUCAUCUUGCUUAGUUUUUGGGGAACUCCUUGAAGGGGAUAAAACUUUGAUUUUAGCUUGGAAGGCUGAGUUAGCUGGCCUUGGGGGAGGAAGACGAGGUUCAGCUGCAGGACUGUGUCAGCUGCCUGGCUCAUUCUCAGGGCUCUUGACACGUGCCCAUGUGCCAGCUCACUGAGGAAGGCUGGGACUUACCAGGGCCUGCAGUCAGGAGCUGAAAUAAAAGUAUCAUUAGCAGUUAUGGAUAUGGGGCCAGGGAAAGAAUGUAUCAUUCAUUUUAAUGAACUUAUUAAUUAAAUAAUGAUUCAUUUUACUUUGUAAUGAUUACUUUGGAAAUUUUUGAAAUAGUUUUCAGAUACUUUGGUGAGAUGAUCCAAGCAUGCUGAGGAAAUAUCAGUAAAAGUUUUUUUUCAUGGCAGUUUAGUAUCCAUUUCAAAUUAAUUAAACUUUUCUUAGAAAAAGAUAUUAUUAGCAUUGCUUCAGAGUGGAUAAGAGAAAUUUUAUCAUAUAAGGAAUUCUAUAUGAUGGAUUGUAACAAGUACAAAGUACUUAGCUGCAAGAACAGAAAAAGGGACUUACAGUGAUUUCAAUACAAGGCAUUUUAAAAUAUAUUUGCAUUCAAUAUGACUAGAUGUCACAGACAUCUGGCCAUAGGUGGCUGACAAUAUUAGUUCAGAAUUUCAAUGAAAGGAGGCCUGAGUCUGCAUUUUAAGUUAACUCUACCAUGGUUACAACAUGCCUUCAUGGCCUCACAACCUAGGGCCCAUUCAAAGAUAGGAAAAGAGAGGUGGAAGUCAGCCUCACUGUCUACUUUUAUUUGAAAGAGCAAAAACAUUUCCAAGUAGUCUGAGAAAUCCCAAUAGGCUUCAUUGUCCAAAGUUGUGUCAUGUGACCACUUCUAGCCACAAAGAAUGCUGGAAAAAUGAGCAACCACGUGUGCAUCCUCUUAUCAAGGGAAUUAAGAGAGAAGGAGUUGGGAAUAGGUCAAUUAACCUUCAAAAGAUGCUUUCAAAAAUCUUAACUUAAAAGGAGUUAAUCUGCAUACUUAAUGUGUUGGCUUUAAAAAACAUGGAAAAUUUCAAACAUAUCAAAAAGUAGAGAAAAUAGAAUAAUAGAUCCUCAUGAAUCCAUCACAAUAUUCAACAAAUAUUAAUUUAUAUCCAGUAGAUUCACAUAUAUCCCUACCAGUCCUCCAUCUCUGUGUAUUUUAAAGCAAAUCCUAAAUAUUAUAAAAUUUUAUUCACGGAUAUAUCUACAACAGCUAAGAAAUAUUUGCAAAGAAAGCAUAGCCUUACACCACUACCAUCUCAAAAUUAAAUUAGUAAAAUACCUUAAUAUUACCAAACAUUUGAUUUGAAUUCACAUUUUCCCAAUUAUAUCAUUUUAAAAUAUUUUAUUUUAAUAUAUGUCCUUUCUCUUUUUACUUAUUAUUUUGUUCAUGAUAUUUAAAAAUGUUGAAAUUGAUGUAUCCAAUAGUUUUUUUUUUCUUCCUGGCUAGACAAGUGCCCAUGCAUUUAAUUAUUUUGAAGUAUCUUUUAAAACCAUAUUUACUGUGGCAGCUCAAGGUUUGAUCAUCCACACACAGAAAUCAUACUCCACAGGGUCUACUGAACUUUGAGUAUUGAUUCUUAAAGUUCAGCUUGAAGAUUGAGAUAUUGGAAAAUAAGUGUAUUCCUUUGGACUUGCUAUGUGCAUAAUAUCUGGGGAUAUUAGACUAUGAGUUGGAUAAAGUUCCAACUUUAGGGAUGGGAGCACAUGUUGGAACAGCAGCAUUUUGUCACUACUGUGGUACCAAUUGGUAUGAUAGCUCCAGUGCAGUGUGAUUUACUUCACAAUUCGUCCGUAACAAAUGAGAUACCCUUUGAGAUCCUGUUCAGUCUUCCAAGUUUGUUUAUUCAAGAUCAAUAGUUAGGGAAGUUCUUUCUAAAUAUAACUUGAAAUCCAAAAGCUAGAAAAGAAAAUAUUGAUAAAUUUGAUUACAUAAAAAGAAAAUACUUACAUAUGAAAAGAAAGAGAUAAAACACUGACAUAAAUAUAAAUGAUGAAUUGAAAAAAAAAUGUGCAAUUCACAUCACACACAAAAAUCAGUCUUCUAGGCAAAAGAUGAUGGUGCUUGAACUUAGAGACAACAAAGAGAAAAAUGGUAUGUUGGGCUAUAUUGUGAAAGAGAGUCAACAAGGUACAACUACUUCUUACUAUAGUUUAAUUACUCUGCUAUAAGUGCCAGGACAAUAAAACUUCACAAUAUAAUGCUUUAGGUGAUAGCCCUGCCAUUAUAAUGUCAUAGAGGAAGGAUUCUAGACAACAGGCAGAGACAGCAAUUUGUUGUGUAUGAAACAAUAGUUUUGGAGUCUGGAAGCCUGUAUGUGAGUUCUGAUUCUAUCGUGUUCGAUUUGGGGCUAACUUGCUGUUUUAGUCAGAAUUUUCAUCAUGGUGACCAAAAGGUCUGACAAGAACAAUUUUAGAGGAGGAAGUUUAUUUGGGGCUCAUGAUAUCAUAGACAGCUGGCUCCAGUAUUUGGGACCAAGGUGAGGCAUCAUGGUGGAAGAGUGUGUCGGAGGAAAGCAGCUCAGGAUAUGGCCAUCAGGAAGCAGAAAGAGACACUUCCUCUUGUCAAGGACAUAAUAUACCUCAACAGCACACCCCAGUGACCCAUCUCCUCCAGCCAUAUCCUACCUGGCUACAGUUACCACUCAGUUAAUUUCUGUCAGGGGAUUAAUGCACUGAUGAAGUUAAAACUGUCAUAACCCAAUCAUUUUACCUCUAAGCUUUCUGGCAUUGUCUGACACAUGAGCUUUUGGGGGAGACCUCGUAUCUAAACCAUGACAAUUGUCAUCUUGACCUCUCUGAGUCUGUAUUUUCUCACAGGUAGAAUGGAUCAAAUAAAAUCCUAAUUAUAAAUUUAUGUAAUUAAGAUACACAAUCCUAAUCCCAUGUAGUAUAGACUUUUGUUAUUCUUCAUGAUUAUUUAUAUGGUGAUAUAUUUCAUUUAACAAUUUGGUUAAAAACGAUCACUGUAGUUUUACAAUUGGGAUUUGGUCCUUAAAAAUUAUUGAAUAAAAUGUUUUUUUCCUCCUCUGUCUUUUAAAAAGGCAAGCCUAUACAGAGCAGUUAUUUUCUGUGUCAGAGAAUUUGCAUGAUGAUUUGUUUAUAUCUUUAAUGCUAGUUUUGAUUACCUCAGUGUAAGUUAUUAACUGAGAAAGACCAAGAACCACUAUUCAGUGGAAGUAUUAGACUGAUAUUUAUUUAUUUAAUUAUUUUUGUAAUGCUGUUUGACAUUUGUAUGUACCAAUGAAGACAUUAUCACAAACCAGAUAACAAAGUAUACUUAACACUUCCAAUUUUUUUGUAAUUUUGUAAUUUUUCCCUUUCACUCUCCACCCCCCCACCCCCACCCUUGGCCUUAUCUCCAGUCAACCACUGAUCUGGUUUCUAUCUCUAUAGAUUAGUAGUAUUAUCUAGAAUUUUAUAUCACUAUAACUAUAUUGUAUUUAUUUCUUGUUGUCUUGGUUAUCUUGCUUGAUUAUUUUGAUAUUCAUUAUUGUUGUAUGUAUACCAGUUCAUUUCUUUUUAUUGCUGAGUAGUAGUUAAUUGUAUGGAUCAUGUGUUUAUCCAUCCACAUGCCCAUGAGCAUUUGGGUUAUUUCUUGUUCUUGGAUGUUACAAACAAAGCUACCAUAAAUAUUUACAUGCAAGUAUUUUUGUGGACAAAUAUUAUUUAUUUGUGUAGAUUCAUAUUUUCAUAUGGCAUUAUCUUCCAUCUGUGUAAAAGUUCUCUUUUAACAUUUUUUGGGGGGAGAAUAGUGCAGGUCUGUUGGUGAUCAUUUUUUUUUCAGCUUUUCUUUAAAAAAAUUCUCCCUUCCUCCAUUUCAAAUUCGUUUUGCUUUUAAAAGAUAUUUUUGUGGAUAUAUCUUCUGGGAGCCAUUAGCCAAGUAGGUAUGACAAUUUCCUUGCCAGUGUACCCCAUGUUGCAGUGACAUUGAAUGUAGGUGACCUUGCUCAAGGACCAGGGCGGAUUAGGGUGUUCCCGGUUUAGGAUAAUCGGGUUUAGGGCGUUCCAUGUUUAAGAUUAUUCCUGCUGGGAAUAGGGUGUAUCCUGCUGCCUGAGUUCCCCUUGAGUUCUCACGGGAUUCAGACAGUAUUUUUUGGGAGACAGAAGCCCAGUGGACGUGGAUUUGGGCAGAGAACGUGGAUUUCCCCAGAACGUGUUUGUAGACGGCUGGUGUGAGUUCGGGAAUAAAGAGUUGCUGUUUGAAUCUACAAGCUGUGUGGUGGCUCGUGAUUGUGUGCCCAGCCAGACUGCGGCAUAUAUCACUAUACAUUGAUUUUAUUUUCUUUUCGUACUUCAAAUAUUGAUCCACUGUCUUAUUGCUUACAUUGUUUUUGAUAAGAAAUCUGCUGUCAUCCUCAUCUUUAUUCCUCUGUACAUAAUGAGUCCUUUUAAUUUAUUUUAUUGUUUUAGGAUUCUUCUUUAUCAUUGAUUUUCUGAAAUUUGAUUUUGAAUUGUCUUGAUAUACUUUUUUCCAUGUUUCUUGUGCUUGGGUUCAUUGAGCAUUGUGCUGUGAAUUUAUAGUUUUCAUUAAAUCUGGAAAAUUUUCAACAAAUUGUUUUAAAAUAUUUUUCUCCUUCAACUCCAUACUUCAAGGGCUCAGGUUAUGCAUAUCAAUAGGCUCUGGAAUCUGUUCUUCAAUUCACUGAUAUCUUUUAAAAAUCAUCAUUAUUAUUCUUUAUAUACUUUAUUUGGGAUAGUUUCUAUUGCUAUACCUUUAAGUCUACCAAUUUUUCUUCUGCCAUUAAUCAAUCAAUCAUUCAAUCUCAAUCUCUCUCUCUCUGUGUGUGUAUGUGUGUGCGUGUGUGUGUUUGUGUGUGUGUGUGGUUUUACACAUUUUUUUUUUAUCUUUCAAAAAUAUUCCAUGUCUCUACUUAAGUUUUCAAUUUAUGGUACUGUGGUUAUAAUUACUGUUUAAAUGUAUUCAAUGGAUAACUCCAAAAUAUGUGACCAAUUUAAGUUGGUAUAGAUUGAUUUUUCUCCUUGUUUGGUUUAUGUUUCUCUGCAUGCAUGGAAUUUUUUCCUUUAUAUACUUGAUAAUUUUUUAUUUGAUGAAAGAUAUUUCACCUUGUCUGGUAUUGAAUAUAUUCUUGGAUUUUUAUUCUGGGAUUCAGGUAAGUUACAUAUAGACAGUUCGAUCCUUUAGGAUCUUGUUUUUAAGAUUUAUUAGAUAGGACAAAAGCAACUGGAUAUAUUUGUUUGAGUAUAUUUUGGACUUUUAAAUUCUGUUCCAUUGAUCUGUGGGUCUAUUUCUUUGCCAAUAACAUUGUUUUGAUAUCUGUAACUAUGCAGCAAGUCAUAAAAUUGACUAGUAUGGGUCCUUCAUAUUCUUUUAAAAGUUGUUACAAUUCAUUCUUGUUUACUUGACUUCUCAUAUGCAUUUUAGAAUCAGUUCUAUGUCUAUAAAGAUGACUACUGGCAUUUUGAUCAGAAUUGUGUUUAAUCUAUAGAUCGUUUUUAGGAAGGAUUGACAUCUUUACUAUUUGAAUUUUUCAACCCAUUAAUAUAUCUCUCUCCAUUUAUUUUGGUUCUCUUGAUUCCUUUAUUAGCACUGUACUCUGUCUUCUCUCCUCUGGGACUGAGUGACAUGAAUAUUAUUCCUUUUGUGAUUGUCCAAAAGAUUUUGAAGUCCUCACCUUUUCCAAUCUUUUUUCUCCUUGUUGUUUUGAUUGGCUAAUUACAUUUUAACUUUCUUGUCUUCAGGUUUAAUGACCCUUUUUUUGUGGUCUCCAUCCUGAUAUCAAACCCAUUCAGUGAAUUUUAAAUUUUGGUUAUGUUACUUUUAAAUUCUAAAAUUUCCAUUUGAUUAUUCUUAUGUUUCUUUGCCGAGACUUUUAGUUUUUCCAUUUGUUUCAAGAGUAUCCAUGAUUGUUUUUUUAGAGAAUAUUUUAAAAAUACAUAUUAUAGAUGUUUUGUCAGAUAAUUCCAACAUCUAUGUAACCUUGAUGUUGGUGUCUUUGAUUAUCUUUUCACAUGUAGUUUGAGAUUUUUCUUGUUUAUCAUAUGCAGAGUAAUUUUUCAUUAUGUCCUAAAUGUUUUGAAGAUUAUGAGACUUCAAAUCUUACUAAAUUCUAUGGAGAAUGUUGAUUUUUUGUUUCAGCAAGCAAUUGACCUGUAUAAUUUCAGGCUGCUAGUGCCAACCUGCCUUCUGUGGUUCUGUUUAAUUUUCAAUGUCUUUGUAACAUUAUGUGCUUAUAGCCCAUGUGUGUGCCUUCUGGUGGCUAAUCAGGAGUCUAGGGGAGGGUCCAUCUGUCUGUUUCUCAAAUUCUUUAAUAUGCUGUUUAGGAUUAGGUCCACAUCUGGGAGUCCAUAAAUAACUGUAAGGGUUUGCUUUCUCCUUCUUUGCCUUAUUCCUGUACUCUUUGUUCUCCAGGGCUCCGGUUUUCAGUCUUCCAUCCAGAAACUCCAGAAUUUAUCUGUCCUGUCUACUGGCUGGCUCUGCUACUGCUCCUAUAUCCAGGACCAAAUGAAGAGUGGGAAGGAUGCAAAGAGAUGGGAGGAGAGAGAGAGAGAGUGAUGGGGUGUGCCGAAUCCUCUUGGGAACAUAGCAUCAUUGAGGGGGGAUGACCGUCCUCUCAGAGUUUGGCUCCUGAGACUCCUGUUGCUGCCUUUGCUGUUGCUACCAUAGGCUUGCUUGUAGCCCAGAAUGCUCAAGUAUGGGGGGUGAGGGGAAUGUCUAGGGGUCCACUCUCUAUCUAAGCAUUAUAGUCAAAGCUAGCAAGUGACUCAUGGGCAUUCUCCUAUAUCUGGAUAUCCACUUUCAGGGUUUGGACUACAUUGUGAUCAGGUUGAAGGAUACAGGGAAAGAAGGUAACGUCAUUGCUUUUUCAGUAACACUAUGAAUCCUGGUCUGCCUGCUACUAUUUAGUUUUUAAAUAGUUGCAGUAUUUGUCUAGGUUUUAAACCUGCAUUCAGGGAGAGAGAAAAUUAAAGUGUGAUUGCUUCAUCUUACCCUGAACAAGAACCCUUAGCAUUAUUUUUAUAUGAUUUAUUUCUAUAAUAUGAACAACACCUAUAAUUCCAAUGCUGUCUACCCCACCUCUGGUUUCAAAGCAAUAUCCUUUUCUCUUUUCUUAUUUGUCUCUUUCCUCUACAUUCUAAGAAAAAGCUCCUCAAGCUUUUCUUCUACACAAAUGAUUUAAUAUUUUUAAAGAAGUAGUUCUACUUUUUAUUGUGUCAAAAGAGAUUUUAAUGCUGGUAAUCACUGGUGUCUUUUCAAUAAUUCUUCAUCUCACCUAUCUCCCUUUUUAUCUCCUUCUGAUUAAUUUACACCUUAUGGGUUUCUGUUCCCUGUUUGAUACAGGCCCAAUCUUCUCAUAUCUAGUGAACAAUAUUGAACAUUUUCCUAGGAAUAUAUUCUAGGUUGUAUAGGAAAAUUUCAUUGUUUUCUCUUACUUUGGAACUUAAGGAUGUUUUUUUCCCCUCCUUACAGUUUCUUCCUCUAAUAAGGGAGCUAUUGUAUUAAAUCUAGUAUCUAUAAAUAAAUCCAAUACAUAGUCCUGAAAAGUCUUUGACUCUCUUACUCUUAAAUUCCCUUCUUAAAUGUGCCCCAAAGAGCAAGUUGCAAGUUAUGUCCUGAUCAAAUUCCCAGUGCCCAGGGGGCUUUUAUUCAGGGUAGUGUUGGCAGAUUUACCAAAUAUAGAACACACAGUUAAAGUUGAAUUUUAGAAGUAUAGGAUAUGAUUUCAUUAAAAAUUAUUUAUUUGUUAUCUGUAAUUCAAAUUCCACAGGAAGACAUAUUUUAUUUGGAAACCAUAAUUCACUGUGAUGGGGCCAGAAAUAAGUAGGAUCAUCCCCAACUCCUUCUGUUGGCCUCCCUAAUAAAGGGAUCAGAGAGAGUUCAUAAAAAGUCACAAUCCCUGAGAUUUUUAACCUGUCUUAUCUUCCUAUCUCUUUCUCUAUAAGAGAGUAAAAUCUCUGUGGUACUCCUUUUUGAAAAGUCACGGUGGUCCAAUUUAGGCUAACAAAGAAAUGAGUGUUAAGCUUGUCUGCACUGACCACUUACAUUUCUGCUGUCCUGACCCCAUUCCUAGAGGAUCCUACUUUAAAAUUGUCAAUUAAGCAAAAUAUCAGAGCCCAGUUCCUAGAAAAGUUUUCAGAAAUCACAAUCUCUGGUAUAUGGGUUGGACAGUGAACCAUGUGAACAUGAAAAAGUUACAAGUGUUUGGAGAAAGCAAGGCGAUGGGAGAAGUUCUAGAUAGCUUAUUAUCUUCAAUGAACUUUCUAAACAGUUUUGGGAUAGCUGGUGUAGGAUGGGGACAAUCUUCGCAUAAAUGAAUGGGAAAAUAAACAAGGAGAGAAAUGAAUUACAGUAGAUGGGGUAGAGAGAGA